rnacentral:rRNA from 1 species
GCAAGUCCUAUUUUGAUCAUAUCUUUGAAUAUGAUCUAUAGGAUUGUAUUAAAAUUGAAUAAAGCCUUGUUUAUAUAUUGAUAAUGACAGUAUAUAUAUCGUGUCUUGACUAAUUGCGUGCCAGCAGUCGCGGUAAUACGUAAGAGACUAGUGUUAUUCAUCUUAAUUAGGUUUAAAGGGUACCUAGACGGUCAAUAUAGCUUCUAUAAUGUUAGUACUUGACUAGAGUUUUAUGUAAGAGGGCGGUACUUGAGGAGGAGAGAUGAAAUUCUAUGAUACCAAAGGGACUCGGUAAAGGCGAAGGCAGCCCUCUAUGUAGAAACUGACGUUAAAGGACGAAGGCACAGAGCACAAACAGGAUUAGAUACCCAAGUAGUCUUUGCAGUAAAUGAUGAAUGCCAUAGGUCAGAUUAAGAUUUAAUAUUAUAAUUACAAAUUAUAAAUUAAACAUUAUUUGGUCUAUAAAUGAAAGUGUAAGCAUUUCACCUCAAGAGUAAUGUGGCAACGCAGGAACUGAAAU